rnacentral:misc_RNA from 1 species
AAGUCGUAACAAGGUCUCCGUAGGUGAACCUGCGGAGGGAUCAUUUGAGUAUCAAGGGGGGCAGCAAUGCCUAUCCCAUGAGUAUGAAGCGUGGACCGGAUGGAAAACGCGACUUUUGGCAAGGGGGGGGCCUUGCCGCCGCCGCGCCAAAGGUCGUGGGUGGUCGCAGUGCCCAUCAUCGAUGGCGCUCGACUAUAUGAAUGGACGUGUGUUGCAGGAUGCAGUUUGGGCGUGCCGAAAAGGUACGCCGUCCGGGCAACUGGCACCAGCGGUAGGCGCAAGCCGUACGCAACAUGAAAUAGAUACAACUUUUGGCAACGGAUCUCUUGGUUCCC